rnacentral:rRNA from 1 species
GACGAACGCUGGCGGCGUGCUUAACACAUGCAAGUCGAACGGAAAGGCCCUGCUUUUGUGGGGUGCUCGAGUGGCGAACGGGUGAGUAACACGUGAGUAACCUGCCCUUGACUUUGGGAUAACUUCAGGAAACUGGGGCUAAUACCGGAUAGGAGCUCCUGCUGCAUGGUGGGGGUUGGAAAGUUUCGGCGGUUGGGGAUGGACUCGCGGCUUAUCAGCUUGUUGGUGGGGUAGUGGCUUACCAAGGCUUUGACGGGUAGCCGGCCUGAGAGGGUGACCGGCCACAUUGGGACUGAGAUACGGCCCAGACUCCUACGGGAGGCAGCAGUGGGGAAUAUUGCACAAUGGGCGGAAGCCUGAUGCAGCAACGCCGCGUGCGGGAUGACGGCCUUCGGGUUGUAAACCGCUUUCGCCUGUGACGAAGUGUGAGUGACGGUAAUGGGUAAAGAAGCACCGGCUAACUACGU